UACGUAGGGUCCGAGCGUUGUCCGGAAUUACUGGGCGUAAAGAGCUCGUAGGUGGUUUGUCGCGUUGUUCGUGAAAACUCACAGCUUAACUGUGGGCGUGCGGGCGAUACGGGCAGACUUGAGUACUGCAGGGGAGACUGGAAUUCCUGGUGUAGCGGUGGAAUGCGCAGAUAUCAGGAGGAACACCGGUGGCGAAGGCGGGUCUCUGGGCCGAUACUGACGCUGAGGGGCGAAAGCGUGGGGAGCGAACAGG
rnacentral:rRNA from 1 species